GAUGAACGCUGGCGGCAUGCCUAAUACAUGCAAGUCGAACGAAGCGACCCAAAGAAUUUGGAGGUACUUGUACCAAAGGACGAUUUGGAAUUUCGCUUAGUGGCGAACGGGUGAGUAACACGUGAGUAACCUACCGUAGUGACUGGGAUAACUAUUGGAAACGAUAGCUAAUACCGGAUAGUUAUGAUCAAGGCAUCUUGAUUAUAUUAAAGGAGCGUAUGCUCCACGCUAUGAUGGACUCGCGGUGCAUUAGUUAGUUGGUGAGGUAACGGCUCACCAAGACGAUGAUGCAUAGCCGACCUGAGAGGGUGACCGGCCACAUUGGGACUGAGACACGGCCCAAACUCCUACGGGAGGCAGCAGUAGGGAAUUUUCGUCAAUGGGGGAAACCCUGAACGAGCAAUGCCGCGUGAGCGAAGAAGGAUUUCGGUCUGUAAAGCUCUGUUGUGAAGGAAGAACGCCUGGUAUAGGAAAUGAUACCAGGGUGACGGUACUUCACCAGAAAGCCACGGCUAACUACGUGCCAGCAGCCGCCGUAAA
rnacentral:rRNA from 1 species